UACGGAGGGUGCAAGCGUUAUCCGGAUUCACUGGGUUUAAAGGGUGCGUAGGCGGACAGGUAAGUCAGUGGUGAAAUCUCCGAGCUUAACUCGGAAACUGCCUUUGAUACUCUCUGUCUUAAAUAUGGUGGAGGUAAGCGGAAUAUGUCAUGUAGCGGUGAAAUGCUUAGAGAUGACAUAGAACACCUAUUGCGAAGGCAGCUUACUACGCCUAUAUUGACGCUGAGGCACGAAAGCGUGGGGAUCAAACAGG
rnacentral:rRNA from 1 species